rnacentral:rRNA from 1 species
CCUACGGGAGGCAGCAGUGAGGAAUAUUGGUCAAUGGACGAGAGUCUGAACCAGCCAAGUAGCGUGAAGGAUGACUGCCCUAUGGGUUGUAAACUUCUUUUAUAAAGGAAUAAAACGAGGCACGUGUGCCUUUUUGCAUGUACUUUAUGAAGCAGGAUCGGCUAACUACGGGACAGCAGCCGCGGUAAUACGGAGGAUCCGAUCGUUAUCCGGAUUUAUUGGGUUUAAAGGGAGCGUAGAUGGGUUGGUAAGUCAGUUGUGAAAGUUUGCGGCUCAACCGUAAAAUUGCAAUUGAUACUGGCAGUCUUGAGUACAGUUGAGGUAGGCGGAAUUCGUGGUGUAGCGGUGAAAUGCGUAGAUAUCACGAAGAACCCCGAUUGCGAAGGCAGCUUACUAGACUGUGACUGACAUUGAUGCUCGAAAGUGUGGGUAUCAAACAGGAUUAGAUACCCGAGUAGUC